UACGUAGGGGGCAAGCGUUAUCCGGAUUCACUGGGUUUAAAGCGUGCGCAGGCGGUUUUGUAAGACAGAGGUGAAAUCCCCGGGCUUAACCUGGGAACUGCCUUUGUGACUGCAAGGCUUGAGUGCGGCAGAGGGGGAUGGAAUUCCGCGUGUAGCAGUGAAAUGCGUAGAUAUGCGGAGGAACACCGAUGGCGAAGGCAGUCCCCUGGACCUGUACUGACGCUCAUGCACGAAAGCGUGGGGAGCAAACAGG
rnacentral:rRNA from 1 species